rnacentral:rRNA from 1 species
UAGGGAAUCUUCCACAAUGGACGCAAGUCUGAUGGAGCAACGCCGCGUGAGUGAAGAAGGUUUUCGGAUCGUAAAGCUCUGUUGUUGGUGAAGAAGGAUAGAGGCAGUAACUGGUCUUUAUUUGACGGUAAUCAACCAGAAAGUCACGGCUAACUACGUGCCAGCAGCCGCGGUAAUACGUAGGUGGCAAGCGUUGUCCGGAU